UUUUAUGUUUAAUAAAUACCUUAUUAGAUUUUAAACAUUUCCCAGGCAGUGGAUUGCAUUUCCCAGACCCUAUAGAUUUGAGUUGUUGGACAAGUUAGUGACCGCAGGGGGGCAACAGGCCCUCAACCAAGUGUUUUAUAAGGGGGGAGGGGAUAAUUUUGGCCCCCACAAAAAAAACAAUUUGAUUUCGAAACUAGAAGUAUUUGAAAUCAUAUAUACAUAUAAUCAAAUAUCUGUAAUCGAUAUUUUGAGAACAUUUC